rnacentral:rRNA from 1 species
GUCUACGGCCAUGCCACCCUGAUGUUUGAUCUUGGGAGCUAAGCAGGGUCAGGUCUGGUUAGUUCUUGGAUGGGAGACCACCUAGGAAGACCAGGUGCUGUAGGCA